rnacentral:rRNA from 1 species
UGGGGAAUAUUGCACAAUGGGCGCAAGCCUGAUGCAGCCAUGCCGCGUGUAUGAAGAAGGCCUUCGGGUUGUAAAGUACUUUCAGUCGGGAGGAAGGUGGUAAGGUUAAUAACCUUAUCAAUUGACGUUACCGACAGAAGAAGCACCGGCUAACUCCGUGCCAGCAGCCGCGGUAAUACGGAGGGUGCAAGCGUUAAUCGGAAUUACUGGGCGUAAAGCGCACGCAGGCGGUUGAUUGAGUCAGAUGUGAAAUCCCCGGGCUUAACCCGGAAAAUGCAUCUGAUACUGGUCAGCUAGAGUCUUGUAGAGGGGGGUAGAAUUCCAUGUGUAGCGGUGAAAUGCGUAGAGAUGUGGAGGAAUACCGGUGGCGAAGGCGGCCCCCUGGACAAAGACUGACGCUCAGGUGCGAAAGCGUGGGGAGCAAACAGG